UACAGAGGGGGCAAGCGUUGUUCGGAAUUACUGGGCGUAAAGGGCGCGUAGGCGGCCUGCUAAGUCGAACGUGAAAUCCCCCGGGCUCAACCCUGGACCUGCAUUCGAUACGGGCAGACUAGAAUUCGGUAGGGGAGACUGGAAUUCCUGGUGUAGCGGUGAAAUGCGCAGAUAUCAGGAGGAACACCGGUGGCGAAGGCGGGUCUCUGGGCCGAUAUUGACGCUGAGGAGCGAAAAGCGUGGGGGAGCGAACAGG
rnacentral:rRNA from 1 species